AUUGAACGCUGGCGGCAGGCUUAACACAUGCAAGUCGAGCGGGGUGAUGGUGCUUGCACUAUCACUUAGCGGCGGACGGGUGAGUAAUGCUUAGGAAUCUGCCUAUUAGUGGGGGACAACAUCUCGAAAGGGAUGCUAAUACCGCAUACGUCCUACGGGAGGAAGCAGGGGAUCACUUGUGACCUUGCGCUAAUAGAUGAGGCUAAGUCGGAUUAGCUAGUUGGUGGGGUAAAGGCCUACCAAGGCGACGAUCUGUAGCGGGUCGGAGAGGCAGAUCCACAGCACUGAGCAUGAGACACGGCCCAGACUCCUACAGGAGGCAGCAGUGGGGAAUAUUGGACAAUGGGGGGAACCCUGAUCCAGCCAUGCCGCGUGUGUGAAGGAGGCCUUAUGGUUGUAAAGCACUUUAAGCGAGGAGGAGGCUCUUUUGGUUAAUACCCAAGAUGAGUGGACGUUACUCGCAGAAUAAGCACCGGCUAACUCUGUGCCAGCAGCCGCCGCCG
rnacentral:rRNA from 1 species